rnacentral:rRNA from 1 species
UACGAGAGGCCCAAACGUUAUUCGGAAUUACUGGGCUUAAAGAGUUCGUAGGCGGCAUGAAAAGCAGGGUGUGAAAGCCCUCGGCUCAACCGAGGAAUUGCGCUCUGAACUGUCGUGCUAGAGGAAUCUAGAGGUGAGCGGAACUGAUGGUGGAGCGGUGAAAUGCGUUGAUAUCAUCAGGAACACCGGAGGCGAAGGCGGCUCACUGGGGAUUUUCUGACGCUGAGGAACGGAAAGCCAGGGGAGCGAACGGG